GUAUUGAUUGCGUACAACCGCAAAGUAAGGUGGGACAUUCUACACUGUGUUUGUGUAAAAAGCGCAAGCCCCACUUGGAUCGAACCGACCCAAAGGAACCCACGCGGUGAUGCACAAAGGGGGGUUGUGUGGUGGAUGUGUGAGGACGCUCGGGGCGUGCACGACCUCGAAAUGGGAGGUCAGCGACAGCCCUGGCGCCUCUCGUCAUACGAUAAUGAUCCUUCCGCAGGUUCACCUACGGAAA
rnacentral:misc_RNA from 1 species